GCGACGGUCAUGAGGAAGUGAAGGUCAUGGGAGGUGAUGGUCAUGAGAGGUGGUGGUCAUGAGAAAGUAAUUGUCAUGAGGAAGUGACAGUCUUGAGGAAGGGAUGGUCUUGAGGAAGUGACAGUCAUGGAAGGUGAUGGUCAUGAGGAAGUGAUGGUAAUGAGGAAGUGACAGUCAUGAGAGGUGGUGGUCAUGGGAGUCGGUGGUCAGUGAGAGGUGAUGGUCAUAGGAGGUGGUGGUCAAUGAGAGGUGAUGGUCAUGAGGAGGUGAUGGUCAUGAGGAAGUGAUAGUCAUGAGAGGUGAUGGUCAUGAGGAAGUGAUAGUCAUGAGAGGUGAUGGUCAUGGGAGGCGAUGGCCAAUGAGAGGUGAUGGUCAUGGGAGGCAAUGGUCAUGGGGAAGUGACAGUCUUGAGGAAGGGAUGGUCAUGAGGAAGUGAUAGUCAUGAGAGAUGAUGGUCAUGGGAGGUGGUGGUCAAUCAGAGGUGAUGUUCAUGAGGAAGUGAUAGUCAUGGGAAGUGAUGGGAGGUGAUGAUUAUGAGAGGUGGUGGUCAUGAGGAAGUAAUGGUCAUGAGGAAGUGAUAGUCAUGGGGAAGUGAUAGUCGUGAGAUGUGGUGGUCAUGAGAGGUGAUGGUCAUGAGGAGCUGAUGGUUAUGAGGAAGUGAUACUCAUGGGGGGUGGUAGUCAUGGGAGGUGAUAUCUGUGGGAGGUGGUGAUAUUUGUGGGAGGUGGUAAUGCUUGUGGGAGGAGGUGAUGGCCAUGAGGAGGUGAUGGUUGUGGGAGGAGGUGAUGGUCAUGGGUGGUGACGGUUGUGGGACGAGGUGAUGGCCGUGAGAG
rnacentral:lncRNA from 1 species